AGAGUUUGAUCCUGGCUCAGGAUGAACGCUAGCGACAGGCUUAACACAUGCAAGUCGAGGGGCAGCACGGUGUAGCAAUACACUGGUGGCGACCGGCGCACGGGUGAGUAACACGUGUGCAACCAACCCCGUACCGGGAGAUAACCCGCGGAAACGUGGACUAACAUCCCAUAACACUGUAUCAUCGCAUGGUGAUGCAUUUAAAAUUCCGGUGGUACGGGACGGGCACGCGCGACAUUAGGUAGUUGGCGGGGUAACGGCCCACCAAGCCGACGAUGUCUAGGGGUUCUGAGAGGAAGGUCCCCCACACUGGAACUGAGACACGGUCCAGACUCCUACGGGAGGCAGCAGUGAGGAAUAUUGGUCAAUGGGCGAGAGCCUGAACCAGCCAAGUCGCGUGAGGGAAGAAUGGUCUAUGGCCUGUAAACCUCUUUUGCCAGGGAAGAAUAAAAGGUACGUGUACCUUCUUGCCAGUACCUGACGAAUAAGCAUCGGCUAACUCCGUGCCAGCAGCCGCGGUAAUACGGGGGAUGCGAGCGUUAUCCGGAUUUAUUGGGUUUAAAGGGCGCGUAGGCGGGACGCCAAGUCAGCGGUAAAAGACUGCAGCUAAACUGUAGCACGCCGUUGAAACUGGCGACCUGGAGACGAGACGAGGGAGGCGGAACAAGUGAAGUAGCGGUGAAAUGCUUAGAUAUCACUUGGAACCCCGAUAGCGAAGGCAGCUUCCCAGGCUCGAUCUGACGCUGAUGCGCGAGAGCGUGGGUAGCGAACAGGAUUAGAUACCCUGGUAGUCCACGCCGUAAACGAUGCUCACUGGAUCUUGGCGAUACACUGCCAGGGUUCAAGCGAAAGUAUUAAGUGAGCCACCUGGGGAGUACGUCGGCAACGAUGAAACUCAAAGGAAUUGACGGGGGCCCGCACAAGCGGAGGAACAUGUG
rnacentral:rRNA from 1 species